rnacentral:lncRNA from 1 species
GUGAAAGUGAAAGUGAAUUCGCUCCGCGUCCGAUUCUUUGCAACCCCAUGGACUAUAGCCCACCAGGCUUCUCCGUCCUUGGAGUUCUCCAGGCAUGAAUACUGGAGUGGGUUGCCAUUUCCUUCUCCAGAGGAACUAAGCCAACAGAACAGAUUUUUAUCUUGGAAACAAAAGGAAGAAAGACAAACAGAGCCGAAGGGUAGGGCUGGAGGGCCACAGGCGGUGGUGGCGAGGGAAAAGCUUCCCUCAGGCAUGGUUCCUGUGACCUUGAGAAGGGCUGCCUCUUUGAAGAAGUCAAAGAAGCAACACCUGACCUGCUGGCAGAGUUGUCAAGGAGGCUCAUGAUCUGCCGACAGUCUGAGGGGUUAGAAGAGCAGGAAGACACCGGGGAAGUCCAGGACAGGAGGGAGGUGUGCCGUGCCAGGACGCUGCCUGGGCCAGAGCCUGCUCAGCCAGAAACAACAAGGAGGAGGGUGGCUUCUGAAAUGUGGCGAAGGGACACUCCUAGGUGGUGUCCUGGGCCCGGAUGUCUCCAGUAGGAGUCUCUGCACACUGGGAGAUGCUUGAGAAGCAGUGAAAAUAUCGAGACUGUUCCCAUGUGAGUCUCCCCGGAGGAGGCAGGAUAGGAAAUUGGCUCAGUACCUGGAGGCACCCACAGAAGCCUGGACACAGAGCAAGCAGAGCCUGAGCUCUUUGUGAAGCAGCGGAAGAGGCAUAUCUCAAAUCAUCGUAACAGCAAGCAGUUUCUCUUUUUCUGCUUCUGCAUGUUCACUGUCCUUUCCUUUCACAACUGAGCUGUUAUGAUAAUGUAUGUGAGAAUCACAGCAGGUGGAGAACUUUAUCAUUCUCUGUUUCACAGCUGUAUAGAGGUCAUAAAGACAUGCCAUAGUUUACUCAAGCACAUUCCUUGGUAGAAGCAUUUGGUGACUUUUAAUAUAAUUAUCAACAAGCAAUCAUGAAUAUAUAUGUUUUCAUUUUGUGACAGAAGUAUCUUUGCAGGAAAUUACUAGAUAUGGGAUUGCUGAUCUACAUAGUAAAUGUAUAUUUAGUUUUUUGUUAGGUGUUGCCAAAUUCUCCUCCAAAACAGUUGCAACUGUUUUAUUUCCACCAGAAAUGCAUGAGCGUGUCUGUUUCUGCAGUAUUUAGCCAAAAGAAGCUGUCACCCUUUUUAAUAUUGCUGUUCCUCAUGUUUGGGAAAUGUACCUUAGUGUGAU